rnacentral:rRNA from 1 species
ACUCCUACGGGAGGCAGCAGUGGGGAAUAUUGCACAAUGGGCGCAAGCCUGAUGCAGCCAUGCCGCGUGUGUGAAGAAGGCCUUCGGGUUGAUAAAGCACUUUCAGUCGUGAGGAAGGUAGUAGUAGUUAAUAGCAUGCUAUUAUUUGACGUUAGCGAACAGAAGAAGCACCGGCUAACUCCGUGCCAGCAGCCGCGGUAAUACGGAGGGUGCGAGCGUUAAUCGGAAUUACUGGGCGUAAAGCGCAUGCAGGUGGUUUGUUAAGUCAGAUGUGAAAGCCCGGGGCUCAACCUCGGAAUUGCAUUUGAAACUGGCAGACUAGAGUACUGUAGAGGGGGGUAGAAUUUCAGGUGUAGCGGUGAAAUGCGUAGAGAUCUGAAGGAAUACCGGUGGCGAAGCGGCCCCCUGGACAGAUACUGACACUC